GCGGGGCGGCAGGGAAAGGAGCGCGCCUGGGCGAGGGGCACAGGGAGAGCCCAGCUACUCGCGGUUGUGUUUUAAAGCUUUAAUUACAAAAAUUACCUCAAGAUAUUUCAGUUUAGCCCUCACAGGCCACGCUUGAGAAGUACAUUCCUUCACACGCUUCUGCAGACAGGUUAUGCAAUUUCACGGCUUCAGAUGCCUUUUAUAAACUUACCACAUCAUACCAGUCCCUCCCUGCAGGAUUAACUUCACCCCGGAGGAGCUGCGGUCCUCCAGCCCAAACCUGAAGGAAGGCAGUAAGGCACUUUGCAAAGAAGGGUUCUGCAUCUGAAAAAUCCUUUGGAACUGAGGCACUUACGGUUUUGUAAACUUCGUGACAGCCAGCAAGUCACAUGGGGAGCAGACCUUCCUCCACACCAGACGGAAUCUAAUGGCAGAACAUUGUGAAAUGGAGCCAGGGCAGGCCCUUAGAGGACAAUUAUUUUGGUUUCCUAUUUUUUGCAAACCAAUCUGCCAGAUCCAAGUCUUCUUCCUGCUCCAGUUAAGGAGUCUCAUUCCACUGAACUUCACAUACCACACUGUUUCUGAGAUGGGUCGUAUAAUAUUCAGAUUGACUUGGCAGAAUAUUCUUGCUCUAGAUGCAAGCACUCUUACCUGACCUGACCAAACACAUAUAUAUGAAUGUGCACCUGAAAAGCUGCACAUGGCCCAUACUCCUAUAACAGACUCUUAACUAUGUUAUGGUUACAUAGGUGGUUGUAUUUGGUCCUGUGGUAGGUUUGGCGCUGAGAUUUCUAAGCAUGGCUUUCAGGGCUUUUAGCCCACAUCAGCUUGCAAGCAUGUUUCCAAGUGGUCAGAGGAAGAACUUGUUUGCCCCUCCCAAGCUCCUUUGAGAAAGUGCUUUUAGCCUGCUAACCUAGCUUCUUGCUUUCAUUUCUGUCCUUUCCUGUCAGCCUGGACCUGGAUCAACCACUUAUGAAUGUGGCUGUAGUGUUCUUGUAGCAGGAUGCAAGAGAGGUUAGGGAAGGCAGCAAAGGUUGCUUUCAUGUGAAUAUCUCACUUUUACACCAAUAUCGCCAGCAAAAAAAAAA
rnacentral:lncRNA from 1 species